AGGAUAAGGGAUAGAGAAAAAUGCACAAAUUGUCUUUAAAAGGAAAGAAGGAGAAUUUAGACAAACUCUGGGAGAAGAUUCUGGAAGGAGAGGAGGAUCUUGGGAGUUUACUGGGUUUAAGGGUCUCUCCUCAUCUGGCUUUCCUCUGAGCUGGUAAGGAGAAUCUUUGCUCUGGCAUCCCUUGGGAAAAGACUAAGAUUAGGAAUUCCUGGACUGGAGAACUGCCUUGGAGGAGACCUGCCUUUCUCUGAAGUACAGAGAUCAACCUGUCAGAAACAACUUGGUUAAGAAGCUGAAAUUCAAACUGAAAAUUCGAAGAAAGCUCAAGAAGCCAGAAGGUAAUGCAUUUCAGGGAUGGAAAGAAGCCAGUGAACGUUCACAGAAUCUGGAGGUGAAAUGUCUUUCUUGUUCAAGGGACUUUAGGGAGGUCUGGAUUACAGAGUACAUGGAAGGGCGUGACAUAGGAAGACUGGAGGAGCUAAGUUGCAACGGGAUUGUAAAUCUUUAUAUUGGAUUUUGGAUGUAAUAGCAAGUCAUUGUAAUUUACUGUGUAGGACUGUGGGGAAGGGCAGGGGAUGGAUGACAUGGUCAGAUCUGCACUUUAGGAAGAUUAAUGUGACACUUCUGUAAGGAAUGGACUGGAGAGAAAGCAGAAACUUGAGGCAGGGAGAUAGCAACCUAAUAGGCUAGGCAUGAGGCGAUGAGGGCUGAACCAGAGUGCUAGCACAGUCAAGAGAAUGGAAGAUGAAGUAUAUGCGAUGUCACUAAAGUAGAUUUUUACACUUUUAAUUAAUUUAUUUUUAACAUUCAUUAAAAAAUUUUUGAUAUCCAAAUUCUCUCUCUCCCUGCAGCUCCUCUUCCAUCCAUUGAAAAGGCAAGAAAUAAACCAAUAAUACAUGUGAAGUCA
rnacentral:lncRNA from 1 species